rnacentral:rRNA from 1 species
CACGUAGGGCGCAAGCGUUGUCCGGAAUUAUUGGGCGUAAAGAGCUCGUAGGCGGUCUGUUGCGUCCGCUGUGAAAACUCGGGGCUCAACCUCGAGCUGUCGGUGGAAACCGUGUAGCUAGAGUCCGGAAGAGGAGAGUGGAAUUCCCGGUGUAGCGGUGAAAUGCGCAGAUAUCGGGAAGAACACCCGUGGCGAAGGCGGCUCUCUGGGACGGUACUGACGCUGAGACGCGAAAGCGUGGGGAGCGAACAGG